rnacentral:rRNA from 1 species
UAGCUAGUUGGUGAGGUGAAGGCUUACCAAGGCGACGAUCUGUAGCGGGUCUGAGAGGAUGAUCCGCCACACUGGAACUGAGACACGGUCCAGACUCCUACGGGAGGCAGCAGUGGGGAAUUUUGGACAAUGGGGGCAACCCUGAUCCAGCCAUGCCGCGUGAGUGAAGAAGGCCUUCGGGUUGUAAAGCUCUUUCGGCCGGGAAGAAAUCGCAUGGGCCAAUACCCUGUGUGGAUGACGGUACCGGAAUAAGAAGCACCGGCUAACUACGUGCCAGCAGCCGCGGUAAUACGUAGGGUGCGAGCGUUAAUCGGAAUUACUGGGCGUAAAGCGUGCGCAGGCGGUUUUGUAAGACAGGCGUGAAAUCCCCGGGCUUAACCUGGGAACUGCGUUUGUGACUGCAAGGCUAGAGUACGGCAGAGGGGGGUGGAAUUCCACGUGUAGCAGUGAAAUGCGUAGAGAUGUGGAGGAACACCAAUGGCGAAGGCAGCCCCCUGGGUCGAUACUGACGCUCAUGCACGAAAGCGUGGGUAGCAAACAGGAUUAGAUACCCUGGUAGUCCACGCCCUAAACUAUGUCAACUAGGUGUUGGGUGGGUAAAACCAUUUAGUACCGUAGCUAACGCGUGAAGUUGACCGCCUGGGGAGUACGGCCGCAAGGUUAAAACUCAAAGGAAUUGACGGGGACCCGCACAAGCGGUGGAUGAUGUGGAUUAAUUCGAUGCAACGCGAAAAACCUUACCUACCCUUGACAUGCCAGGAACUUGCCAGAGAUGGCUUGGUGCCCGAAAGGGAGCCUGGGCACAGGUGCUGCAUGGCUGUCGUCAGCUCGUGUCGUGAGAUGUUGGGUUAAGUCCCGCAACGAGCGCAACCCUUGUCGUUAAUUGCCAUCAUUUAGUUGGGCACUUUAACGAGACUGCCGGUGACAAACCGGAGGAAGGUGGGGAUGACGUCAAGUCCUCAUGGCCCUUAUGGGUAGGGCUUCACACGUCAUACAAUGGUCGGUACAAAGGGUUGCCAAGCCGCGAGGCGGAGCCAAUCCCAGAAAGCCGAUCGUAGUCCGGAUUGCAGGCUGCAACUCGCCUGCAUGAAGUCGGAAUCGCUAGUAAUCGUGGAUCAGCAUGUCACGGUGAAUACGUUCCCGGGUCUUGUACACACCGCCCGUCACACCAUGGGAGCGGGUUCCGCCAGAAGUAGGUAGCCUAACCGCAAGGGGGGCGCUUACCACGGCGGGGUUCGUGACUGGGGUGAAGUCGUAACAAGGUAGCCGUAGGGGAACCUGCGGCUG